UCAAGUGGCGGCGUUCCCUUAUACAUGCAAGUCGAGCGGACAGAUGGGAGCUUGCUCCCUGAUGUUAGCGGCGGACGGGUGAGUAACACGUGGGUAACCUGCCUGUAAGACUGGGAUAACUCCGGGAAACCGGGGCUAAUACCGGAUGGUUGUUUGAACCGCAUGGUUCAAACAUAAAAGGUGGCUUCGGCUACCACUUACAGAUGGACCCGCGGCGCAUUAGCUAGUUGGUGAGGUAACGGCUCACCAAGGCAACGAUGCGUAGCCGACCUGAGAGGGUGAUCGGCCACACUGGGACUGAGACACGGCCCAGACUCCUACGGGAGGCAGCAGUAGGGAAUCUUCCGCAAUGGACGAAAGUCUGACGGAGCAACGCCGCGUGAGUGAUGAAGGUUUUCGGAUCGUAAAGCUCUGUUGUUAGGGAAGAACAAGUACCGUUCGAAUAGGGCGGUACCUUGACGGUACCUAACCAGAAAGCCACGGCUAACUACGUGCCAGCAGCCGCGGUAAUACGUAGGUGGCAAGCGUUGUCCGGAAUUAUUGGGCGUAAAGGGCUCGCAGGCGGUUUCUUAAGUCUGAUGUGAAAGCCCCCGGCUCAACCGGGGAGGGUCAUUGGAAACUGGGGAACUUGAGUGCAGAAGAGGAGAGUGGAAUUCCACGUGUAGCGGUGAAAUGCGUAGAGAUGUGGAGGAACACCAGUGGCGAAGGCGACUCUCUGGUCUGUAACUGACGCUGAGGAGCGAAAGCGUGGGGAGCGAACAGGAUUAGAUACCCUGGUAGUCCACGCCGUAAACGAUGAG
rnacentral:rRNA from 1 species